GCGGACGCUGGCGGACGGACCCCGCAGCUCACUCGUAAUGAGCAGGUCAGCGGUUCGAGUCCGCUCGUCGGCUCCA
rnacentral:tRNA from 1 species